GAUGAAGAACGCAGCGAAAUGCGAUAAGUAAUGUGAAUUGCAGAAUUUAGUGAAUCAUCGAAUCUUUGAACGCACAUUGCACCCCUAGGUAAUCCUUGGGGUAUACCUGUUCGAGCGCCGUUUGUGUCUAAGGCUCAGCCUUGCGUUGACGCUGCCCCGCUAGGGGCUCGUCGAAACACAUCGGCGCCCGUCUCGGCCCGGAACGCAAUGAAAUGCGAGAAAGGCAGUGGCGGGCGGCCAGUCUCCGAAAGCAUGGCCUCGGAUCAGGUAGGGAUACCCGCUGAACUUAAGCAUAUCAAUAAGCGGAGGA
rnacentral:misc_RNA from 1 species